rnacentral:rRNA from 1 species
AGUGAACGCUGGCGGUAGGCCUAACACAUGCAAGUCGAACGGCAGCACAGUAAGAUCUUGCUCUUACUGGUGGCGAGUGGCGGACGGGUGAGGAAUACAUCGGAAUCUACUUUUUCGGGGGGGAUAACGUAGGGAAACUUACGCUAAUACCGCAUACUACCUACGGGUGAAAGCAGGGGAUCUUCGGACCUUGCGCGAUUGAAUGAGCCGAUGUCGGAUUAGCUAGUUGGCGGGGUAAAGGCCCACCAAGGCGACGAUCCGUAGCUGGUCUGAGAGGAUGAUCAGCCACACUGGAACUGAGACACGGUCCAGACUCCUACGGGAGGCAGCAGUGGGGAAUCUUGGGCAAUGGGCGCAAGCCUGAUCCAGCCAUACCGCGUGGGUGAAGAAGGCCUUCGGGUUGUAAAGCCCUUUUGUUGGGAAAGAAAAGCAGCAGGUUAAUACCCCACUGUUCUGACGGUACCCAAAGAAUAAGCACCGGCUAACUUCGUG